GGCCUUGACAUACUAAGAACUUUCCAGAGAUGGAUUGGUGCCUUCGGGAACUUAGAUACAGGUGCUGCAUGGCUGUCGUCAGCUCGUGUCGUGAGAUGUUGGGUUAAGUCCGCAACGAGCGCAACCCUUUUCCUUAUUUGCCAGCGGGUCAUGCCGGGAACUUUAAGGAUACUGCCAGUGACAAACUGGAGGAAGGCGGGGACGACGUCAAGUCAUCAUGGCCCUUACGGCCAGGGCUACACACGUGCUACAAUGGUCGGUACAAAGGGUUGCUACCUCGCGAGAGGAUGCUAAUCUCAAAAAGCCGAUCGUAGUCCGGAUCGCAGUCUGCAACUCGACUGCGUGAAGUCGGAAUCGCUAGUAAUCGCGGAUCAGAAUGCCGCGGUGAAUACGUUCCCGGGCCUUGUACACACCGCCCGUCACACCGUGGGAGUUUGUUGCACCAGAAGUAGGUAGUCUAACCGCAAGGAGGACGCUUACCACGGUGUGGCCGAUGACUGGGGUGAAGUCGUAACAAGGUAAGCGUAGAUGA
rnacentral:rRNA from 1 species